AAGACCUACACCUACAAUUGCUAACAAGUUCUUUCGAACGAUUGAGCACAUUGUGGGGACUGCCUUGGAAACAAGGAGGAAGGUGUAGGCAACGGUAGGUCCGUACGCUCCGAAUCUUCUGGGCUACACGCGCGCACCAACGGCAGUGACAAUGGGAUACAACUCCGAAAGGAGAAGUUAAACCUCUAAACACUGUCUUAGUCUAGAUCGAGGGUUGCAACCCAUCCUCGUGACACCGGAAUCCCUAGUAAUCGGAUUUCAAAAUAGUCCGGUGAAUAU
rnacentral:rRNA from 1 species